CCCUGGUUAGCUUAGUUGGCAGAGCGCUCAGUGGAGAUGAAGAGGUCCCGGUUUCGAUACCCGGACCAGGCG
rnacentral:tRNA from 1 species